UUAAUAAAACUGUCAACUUCAAGUUUUGUUGUCAACAAAAGCUUCCUCCUUAGGGAAUUUAUUUCUUCUUGCAUUAUACAUAGGAAACAAUAGUUUUGUGAAAGUACAUGUAGAAAAAUACCAACAUGGAUUUCAUGUUUCUCAAGAAAUUCACACUCUUCUUCCUCCUUAUUUCUGGCUCACUUUUAGCAACUUCUUUUGCUGGUCGAGCAUCUAAUUUCACUUUCAGUAGAAAAAAAACAGUUUCAAUUGUUGGUUAAGCGUUCCUUAAGAUUCUCCAUAAGGUUCUCGUAAGUUUCCUUAUUUUCAUUUACUAUUUAUUUUCUUUUGCUUCUCCUUGUUUCUCUCUUCUUUGACCAACAAUCGCUUCAAUGGUAUAACAAUUUCAAUUGAUUGAAACGUGGGCAAGUAUAACAUGUAUUAGAACCGUUGGAUUGUAAUGGUGCAUGGAUCUUUUGGGGCACUUGAUUUUCCUCUUGAUAUGCCAGCAGAGUCACAGAUUAAUACA